rnacentral:tRNA from 1 species
UUAGCUCAGCUGGGAGAGCACCUGCCUUACAAGCAGGGGGUCAUUGGUUCGAUCCCGAUA